AUCUUCUUAUUUCUUAACUCUUUCAUUUCCCUUGCUAAAAUUUUCACUGGUUCCUCUUCAUAAGUUAGGUCAGAUUGUACAUCAAUGGUUUCAGCUGGAAUGACAUGUGAAGGAUCAGAUCUGUAUCGUCUUAACAUGGAUACAUGGAAGACAUUGUGUAUUCUGUCUAACUCUGGAGGUAAAGAUAUAGCUAAAAAGGUAUAGUUUGUGACAUUCCUUGCACUGUCUACUCUUUGAUAGGGUAAGGGG
rnacentral:lncRNA from 1 species